rnacentral:snRNA from 1 species
AUACUCCCCUCAGCAAUACACAUACUAAAAUUAGAACACAGAGUAAAUUAGCAUGGUCUUUGCACAAGGAUGACACGCAAAUUUGUGAAGUGUUCUAUAUUUUC